AGUACUCGGCGCGGCGUGUAAACAUCGCCACGAGGGAGACACAGGAGGCCGCGCGUGGUGCUGGCCACCCACCCACCCACCCCUCGUGUGCCACAGUGCCGGCCUUCAUAGAUGGAGCGCCGGCUAAUGCUUGCUCUCGACGUCCCUGAGAAUGACCCCGGGCCCUUCCCCAAGCGGCUGGUUUAGUCACGAAAGCUUCAAAUCUAGAACACAUGAAAAUGCGCGUUAUCGCAUCGCGGGGCCCGGAGCCGACCAGGACCCCAUCGGGGUUUUCAUCGUGGAUCCUGUGACCGGGUGGCUUUCGGUCAGCAAGACCCUGGACCGCGAGCUCGUCAAAGAGUACCUGGUGAGGCACUCACACUAGUGUAAUGCGAGCGUAAACGGCCUCGCGGAUAUGACGUAACAGGUGGGAGGAGUUGGGUCACGUGGGGAGAGGGAGUGCUUUUAAGGGCAGGAACCGGAAGGGCUGGAGGAGAGUGUGGGAAGAAAGAAAGGUAGGAGGAUGGCGUUAGCGGUCGAGAUGCCUGAGGCUCCAGUGUGCCCGGGACCGGCCGAUGGGGUUCUGAACCUUCCACGAGCGGUGUGGAUCCGUGAACAAAUGCUUGAUGACUCGUUGGGGACCCUGCGGAGU